CGGGGGCACGGGGGGACUCCUACGGGAGGCAGCAGUAAGGAAUAUUGGUCAAUGGACGCAAGUCUGAACCAGCCAUGCCGCGUGGAGGAUGAAGGUCCUCUGGAUUGUAAACUUCUUUUAUCUGGGAAGAAAUGCAUUUUUUCCAAAGUGUUUGACGGUACCAGAUGAAUAAGCACCGGCUAACUCCGUGCCAGCAGCCGCGGUAAUACGGAGGGUGCAAGCGUUAUCCGGAUUCACUGGGUUUAAAGGGUGCGUAGGUGGGCAGUUAAGUCAGUGGUGAAAUCUCCGGGCUCAACCCGGAAACUGCCAUUGAUACUAUCUGUCUUGAAUAUCGUGGAGGUAAGCGGAAUAUGUCAUGUAGCGGUGAAAUGCUUAGAUAUGACAUAGAACACCAAUUGCGAAGGCAGCUUACUACCCGAAUAUUGACACUGAGGCACGAAAGCGUGGGGAUCAAACAGGAUUAGAUACCCUGGUAGUCCACGCCCUAAACGAUGGAUACUCGACAUACGCGAUACACAGUGUGUGUCUGAGCGAAAGCAUUAAGUAUCCCACCUGGGAAGUACGACCGCAAGGUUGAAACUCAAAGGAAUUGACGG
rnacentral:rRNA from 1 species